rnacentral:rRNA from 1 species
UCAACGACCGUACCGCAAACCGACACUGGUGCGCGAGAUGAGUAUUCUAAGGCGCUUGAGAGAACUCAGGAGAAGGAACUCGGCAAAUUGACACCGUAACUUCGGAAGAAGGUGUGCCCUAUUAGUGUGUAGUGAACAACGAAGCAUGAAUGGGUUGCAAAAAAUCGGUGGCUGCGACUGUUUAUUAAAAACACAGCACUCUGCAAACACGAAAGUGGACGUAUAGGGUGUGACGCCUGCCCGGUGCUGGAAGAUUAAAUGAUGGGGUGCAAGCUCUUGAUUGAAGUCCCAGUAAACGGCGGCCGUAACAAUAACGGUCCUAAGGUAGCGAAAUUCCUUGUCGGGUAAGUUCCGACCUGCACGAAUGGCGUAACGAUGGCCACACUGUCUCCUCCUGAGACUCAGCGAAGUUGAAAUGUUUGUGAUGAUGCAAUCUCCCCGCGGAAAGACGGAAAGACCCCAUGGACCUUUACUGUAGCUUUGUAUUGGACUUUGAACAGAUCUGUGUAGGAUAGGUGGGAGGCUUUGAAGCAGGGUCGCUAGAUCUUGUGGAGCCUACGUUGAAAUACCACCCUGGUGUGUUUGAGGUUCUAACCUAGGUCCAUUAUCUGGAUCGGGGACAGUGCAUGGUAGGCAGUUUGACUGGGGCGGUCUCCUCCCAAAGCGUAACGGAGGAGUUCGAAGGUACGCUAGUUACGGUCGGACAUCGUGACGAUAGUGCAAUGGCAUAAGCGUGCUUAACUGCGAGACUGACAAGUCGAGCAGAUGCGAAAGCAGGACAUAGUGAUCCGGUGGUUCUGUAUGGAAGGGCCAUCGCUCAACGGAUAAAAGGUACUCUGGGGAUAACAGGCUGAUACCGCCCAAGAGUUCAUAUCGACGGCGGUGUUUGGCACCUCGAUGUCGGCUCAUCUCAUCCUGGGGCUGUAGCCGGUCCCAAGGGUAUGGCUGUUCGCCAUUUAAAGAGGUACGUGAGCUGGGUUUAAAACGUCGUGAGACAGUUUGGUCCCUAUCUUCCGUGGGCGCUGCAGAUUUGAGGAAGCCUGCUCCUAGUACGAGAGGACCGGAGUGGACACACCUCUGGUGUAUCGGUUGUCACGCCAGUGGCAUUGCCGAGUAGCUAAGUGUGGAAGAGAUAACCGCUGAAAGCAUCUAAGCGGGAAACUCGUUUCAAGAUGAGAUCUGCCGGGGCCUUGAGCCCCCUAAAGAGUCGUUCAAGACCAGGACGUUGAUAGGUCAGGUGUGGAACCAA